rnacentral:rRNA from 1 species
GACGAACGCUGGCGGCGUGCUUAACACAUGCAAGUCGAACGCUGAAGCCCAGCUUUUGUUGGGUGGAUGAGUGGCGAACGGGUGAGUAACACGUGAGUAACCUGCCUCCGUCUUUGGGAUAACGCCCGGAAACGGGUGCUAAUACUGGAUAUGCGCUGGUCCUCGCUUGGGGGGGGGUGGAAAGGGUUGUGGUGGGGGGUGGUGGGGCCGCGGCUUAUCUGCUUGUUGGUGGGGUGGUGGCCUAGCGAGGUGUUGACCAGUAGUCGGCCGGGGAGGGGGGCCGGUCAGAUUGGGGGUCAGAUACGGCCCAGGAUCCGACGGGAGGCAGCAGGGGGGGAUAUUGCGCAGUGGGCGCAAGCCUGAUGCGGCGACGCCGGGUGCGGGGUGGAGUCCUGGGGGUUGGGAACCUCUUUCGCUCAUGGUCAAGCCAGAACAGUGGUUGUAGUGAGGGUAGUGGGUAAAGAAGCGCCGGCUAACUACGUG